AGAGUGAGGGAGGGUGUGACUAGUGACAGAGAGAGGGAGGGUGUGACUAGUGACAGUCACCCCCUCCCUCACUCUGUCACUAGUCACCCCCUCCCUCACUUUGUCACUAGUCACCCCUUCCUUCCCUCACUCU